GUCAAAUAUUAAACUCAAUGGAAUGAUAAACUAAAUAUAAAUGAAAUUGAUUGAAAUAUAAUAUAAAUGAAAUAAGAUUAUAUUAAGGUUAGGUUCAUUUUAGGAAUUAGGGUUUGUUAUUGGGCUAUAACAAUAACUCUGUUCUAUUUAUGACUUAUAACUAUAAUUUUAAUUCUUGUAUUAUUCAUCAUUAACACUAAAUUCGUAGUAGUACAUGUAAAUUAUAUUUUUUAUAUCUAUGUAAACAUAAUUUAAUUAUAUUUUCAUGAUAUUUUAACGGGAAGGAAAAGAAAUGCUUAAAAUCAGACUGAUAUAUUUUAUAUGGGAAAUUUGAGGAUUUGCACUCAAAACGUGUCUAAAAAUUUGUCAUUAUUAUUUGAUAGAAUGUAUAAUAAAAAACGUUGAUGAGGACAGUUGCAAGUAAAACAUUAAAUUUACCAGGUUAAAGUUUAUUCUGGAACAGCACAUCUAAAGGACCUAAAGCAACUGUUUCAGGCAAAUUAAAGUUAUUGAUUAAGUUAUGGAAGACACUUCAAUGUUACCAUCGAUGAAUAUGAAGUCUGAGAAGUCUCGGCUGGAUUCAUCUUGAAUUGUAAUACAUUUGAAAACAAAUAUGAAACUUGAGCUGACAACUCUUAAAUUGAAAAAAAAGAUUUGAAGAGCACAUUAUUGUCUCCAAUAUAAAAGCAGCCAGUGUUCCUGUAUGAAAGUGUUAUCAAAGAUAAGGAUGGAAAGGGUCAAUUUCAUUACUAUUCAAUAUCCUGAUGUUUCUUUUAAUGAGAAAAUAAAGUAUUAAAAAUGAAUACACCAAA